GACGAACGCUGGCGGCGUGCUUAACACAUGCAAGUCGAACGAUGAAGCCGGAGCUUGCUCUGGUGAAUUAGUGGCGAACGGGUGAGUAACACGUGAGUAACCUGCCCUUGACUCUGGGAUAACUGCGGGAAACUGUAGCUAAUACCGGAUACGACCCUCGGAGGCAUCUCCUGGGGGUGGAAAGAAUUUCGGUCAAGGAUGGACUGGCGGCCUAUCAGCUAGUUGGGGAGGUAAAGGCUCACCAAGGCGACCACGGGUAGCCGGCCUGGGAGGGUGACCGGCCACACUGGGACUGAGACACGGCCCAGACUCCUACGGGAGGCAGCAGUGGGGAAUAUUGCACAAUGGGCGCAAGCCUGAUGCAGCAACGCCGGGUGAGGGAUGACGGCCUUCGGGUUGUAAACCUCUUUUAGCAGGGAAGAAGCGAAAGUGACGGUACCUGCAGAAAAAGCACCGGCUAACUACGUGCCAGCCGCCGCGGUAA
rnacentral:rRNA from 1 species